AUUGAACGCUGGCGGCAUGCCUUACACAUGCAAGUCGAACGGCAGCACGGGUGCUUGCACCUGGUGGCGAGUGGCGAACGGGUGAGUAAUACAUCGGAACAUGUCCUGUAGUGGGGGAUAGCCCGGCGAAAGCCGGAUUAAUACCGCAUACGAUCUACGGAUGAAAGCGGGGGACCUUCGGGCCUCGCGCUAUAGGGUUGGCCGAUGGCUGAUUAGCUAGUUGGUGGGGUAAAGGCCUACCAAGGCGACGAUCAGUAGCUGGUCUGAGAGGACGACCAGCCACACUGGGACUGAGACACGGCCCAGACUCCUACGGGAGGCAGCAGUGGGGAAUUUUGGACAAUGGGCGAAAGCCUGAUCCAGCAAUGCCGCGUGUGUGAAGAAGGCCUUCGGGUUGUAAAGCACUUUUGUCCGGAAAGAAAUCCUUGGCCCUAAUACGGUCGGGGGAUGACGGUACCGCAAGAAUAAGCACCGGCUAACUACGUG
rnacentral:rRNA from 1 species